rnacentral:rRNA from 1 species
GUGAGGAAUAUUGGUCAAUGGGCGCAAGCCUGAACCAGCCAUGCCGCGUGCAGGAAGACGGUCCUAUGGAUUGUAAACUGCUUUUAUUUGGGAAUAAACUCCGGUACGUGUACCGGCCUGAAGGUACCAAAUGAAUAAGCACCGGCUAACUCCGUGCCAGCAGCCGCGGUAAUACGGAGGGUGCAAGCGUUAUCCGGAAUCAUUGGGUUUAAAGGUCCGCAGGCGGUCUUAUAAGUCAGUGGUGAAAGCCUACAGCUCAACUGUAGAACUGCCAUUGAUACUGUAGGACUUGAAUUCGAUCGAAGUGGGCGGAAUGUGACAUGUAGCGGUGAAAUGCUUAGAUAUGUCACAGAACACCGAUAGCGAAGGCAGCUCACUAGGUCUGGAUUGACGCUCAGGGACGAAAGCGUGGGGAGCAAACAGGAUUAGAAACCCGGGUAGUCC